GAAAAGUAAAGUAAUUAAGAACAUUAUUUGCUAUUGUUUUACACAUGGACAAAUGUCAAACAGUUGUUUUUAAUAACCCCCAUACAAAGAUCAGAGAUUCAAAGCCUUGAUUUGUAAAUGGGUCUG